rnacentral:rRNA from 1 species
GACAGAGGCCUCGAGCGUUAGGCGGAAUCACUGGGCUUAAAGCGUGUGUAGGCGGACGCCUAAGUACCUUGUGAAAUCCCACGGCUCACCCGUGGAACUGCUCGGUAUACUGCGAGUCUUGAGCCACUUAGGGGCUACCGGAACAAAUGGUGGAGCGGUGAAAUGCGUAGAUAUCAUUUGGAACGCCAAUGGUGAAAACAGGUAGCUGGGAGUGUGCUGACGCUGAGACACGAAAGCCAGGGGAGCAAACGGG